rnacentral:rRNA from 1 species
CAGUAGCCGCGGUAAUACGUAGGUGGCAAGCGUUGUCCGGAAUUAUUGGGCGUAAAGCGCGCGCAGGCGGCCUAUCCAGUCUGUCUUAAAAGUUCGGGGCUCAACCCCGUGAUGGGAUGGAAACUAGUAGGCUAGAGUAUCGGAGAGGAAAGCGGAAUUCCUAGUGUAGCGGUGAGAUGCGUAGAUAUUAGGAAGAACACCAGAGGCGAAGGCGGCUUUCUGGACGAAAACUGACGCUGAGGCGCGAAAGCCAGGGGAGCGAACGGGAUUAGAGACCCCAGUAGUCCCUGUCUCUUAUACC